UGGGUUUGACAUGUUCCUGCCCAAAAGGGAAGCUGUGUUUCCACAGCGGUCAGGAACAUGUCAAACCCAGGUAAGGUUCUUCGCGUUGCGUCGAAUUAAACCACAUGCUCCGCUGCUUGUGCGGGUCCCCGUCAAUUCCUUUGAGUUUUAGCCUUGCGGCCGUACUCCCCAGGCGGGGCACUUAAUGCGUUAGCUCCGGCACGGGAGGAGUCGACACCUCCCACACCUAGUGCCCAUCGUUUACGGCGUGGACUAC
rnacentral:misc_RNA from 1 species